UCCAGGCGCUGAGGGACUGACCACCCCCCGCCCCCGAGGCGGGGUCCCUUAUGCCGUCUGCACCUGCCUGCGUCCCCCGAGGGAUCAGAGCGCUCCUCCGAGAGCUGCUCACCCAGGACCCGCCUCCACCAGGGGCCCAAUCUGUGUGUGAUACCCACUCACCCAAAAUCCCCCUUCAAGCCACAUCUCUACGUGCUUCAGUUUCCCCAGGAGCAAAAAGGGGCUCGAAAAUACAGCACAAAUGAAUCUUCCUAAUUUUACUGAGGGAAAGACGCCAGACCAAAAAUUUUAAAAGAGAUUCCAAUAAAGAAUACAGUGCUGCCGCCAAAACUAACCAGGAGAAUUCCGGAGGGGCCAAAAGGAGGGAGGAAAUGCCAGUCCAUCAUAUGUCCUACCAACCUCCCAGGAUCCUUUGCACUGAAGUCCCUCUUGGCUGAGAGAUUCGAACCACCAGGAAGGACCCUGAGUCAGACCAAAUACAGGUCAAGCAAGAUGGCUGGCCAGAGACAACUCAGAAACUAACCCCAUCACCAUAAAAACGUGAGACUUCGAGCCACGUGGUAGAGCAGUUCUCCUGGGUUUCUUAUCCUGCUGCUCUCUGCCUGGGCGCGCCUUGCCAAUAAAGUCUUCUGCUUUGUCAGCA